AGAGUUUGAUCAUGGCUCAGGACGAACGCUGGCGGCAUGCCUAACACAUGCAAGUCUAGGGGUAGCAAUACCACUGGCGCACGGGUGAGUAACACGUGGGUUAUCUGCCCCCAUCACAGACAUAACCCCGGGAAACCGGGGCUAAUAUCUGAUGAGGUCGCGAGAUCAAAGCUUCGGCGGAUGGGGAUGAGCCUGCGGCUGAUUAGCUAGUUGGUGAGGUAAUGGCUCACCAAGGCGACGAUCAGUAGCUGGUCUGAGAGGACGAACAGCCACACUGGAACUGAGACACGGUCCAGACUCCUACGGGAGGCAGCAGUGAGGAAUAUUGGUCAAUGGGAGCAAUCCUGAACCAGCAAUGCCGCGUGUGGGAUGACAGGGCUUCGCCUUGUAAACCACUGUCGGACGGGACGAAAGGAGGCCUCGGGCCUCUGGGACGGUACCGUCAAAGGAAGGGUCGGCUAACUACGUG
rnacentral:rRNA from 1 species